GGUAUCAUCCUUUCGGGGGUGAGAGAGUGGCGAACUGGUGAGUAACACGUAGGUUAUCUACCCUCAAGACGGGGACAACCCAGGGAAACUUGGGCUAAUACCGGAUGUGAGCAACUUUUAGUUGUUUGAAAGGUGGCGUAAGCUGUCGCUUGGGGAUGAGCCUGCGUCCUAUUAGUUAGUUGGUGAGGUAACGGCUCACCUAGGCAAUGAUAGGUAGGCGGCCUUAACGGGUGGUCGCCCACACUGGGAUUGAGAUACGGCCCAGACUCCUACGGGAGGCAGCAGUCGAGAAUAGUCUACAAUGGUCGGAAGACUGAUAGUGCGACGCCGCGUGAACGAUGAAUCCCUUCGGGGUGUAAAGUUCUUUUAUAUGUGAGCAGUGCUUCUUAUAUUAACAGUAUGGGGAGAGAGAUAUUAGCAUAUGAAUAAGCAACGGCUAACUCCGUGCCAGCAGCCGCGGUAACACGGGGGUUGCGAGCGUUGUCCGGAAUUACUAGGCGUAAAGGGCAGGCAGGCGGAUCCAUAAGUUUAUCGUUUAAGGCGUCGGCUUAACCGGCGUAGGGCGGUAGAUACUGUGGAUCUGGAAUGCGGUUGGGGAAGACAGAAUUCCUGGUGUAGCGGUGGAAUGCGCAGAGAUCAGGAGGAAUACCGAAGGCGAAGGCAGUCUUCCAAGCCGUUAUUGACGCUCAACUGCGAAGGUGUGGGUAUCAAACAGGAUUAGAUACCCUGGUAGUCCACACAGUAAACGAUAAUCACUGGGUGUCG
rnacentral:rRNA from 1 species